UAGUAUGGGGAUCUGCCCGAUAGAGGGGGGUAACUACUGGAAACGGUGGCUAAUACCGCAUAAUGUCUACGGACCAAAGCAGGGGCUCUUCGGACCUUGCACUAUCGGAUGAGCCCAUAUGGGAUUAGCUAGUAGGUGGGGUAAAGGCUCACCUAGGCGACGAUCUCUAGCUGGUCUGAGAGGAUGAUCAGCCACACUGGGACUGAGACGCGGCCCAG
rnacentral:rRNA from 1 species